GACGAACGCUGGCGGCGCGCCUAACACAUGCAAGUCGAACGGAGCUGAGAGAAGCUUGCUUUUCUUAGCUUAGUGGCGAACGGGUGAGUAACGCGUGAGUAACCUGCCCUGGAGUGGGGGACAACAGUUGGAAACGACUGCUAAUACCGCAUAAGCCCACGAUCCGGCAUCGGAUUGAGGGAAAAGGAUUUAUUCGCUUCAGGAUGGACUCGCGUCCAAUUAGCUAGUUGGUGAGGUAACGGCCCACCAAGGCGACGAAUGGUAGCCGGACUGGGGGGGUGAAACGGCACCAUUGGGAUGAGGCCCGGCCCCGACCCCUACGGGGGGGCGGGGUGGGGGGUAAUGCACCAUGGGGGAAACCCUGGAGCAGCGGCGCCGGGGGGAAGAAAAAGGUUUUCGGAUUGUAAACUCCUGUCGGUAGGGGCGAUAAUGACGGUACCUAACAAGAAAGCACCGGCUAACUACGUG
rnacentral:rRNA from 1 species